UACGUAGGGCGCAAGCGUUGUCCGGAAUUAUUGGGCGUAAAGAGCUCGUAGGUGGCUUGUCACGUCGGGUGUGAAAGCUUGGGGCUUAACUCCAGGUCUGCAUUCGAUACGGGCUGGCUAGAGGUAGGUAGGGGAGAACGGAAUUCCUGGUGUAGCGGUGAAAUGCGCAGAUAUCAGGAGGAACACCGGUGGCGAAGGCGGUUCUCUGGGCCUUACCUGACGCUGAGGAGCGAAAGCGUAGGGAGCGAACAGG
rnacentral:rRNA from 1 species